GGCCUCGUGGACUAAUGGAGAAGGCGUCUGAUCUCGGAUCAGAAGGUUCCAGGUUCGAAUCCUGGCGGAGUCG
rnacentral:tRNA from 1 species